rnacentral:rRNA from 1 species
GACGAACGCUGGCGGCGUGCUUAACACAUGCAAGUCGUACGGUAAGGCCCUUUCGGGGGUACACGAGUGGCGAACGGGUGAGUAACACGUGAGUAACCUGCCCACAACUUUGGGAUAACGCUAGGAAACUGGUGCUAAUACUGGAUAUGUGCUCCUGCUGCAUGGUGGGGGUUGGAAAGCUCCGGCGGUUGUGGAUGGACUCGCGGCCUAUCAGCUUGUUGGUGGGGUAGUGGCCUACCAAGGCGGCGACGGGUAGCCGGCCUGAGAGGGUGACCGGCCACAUUGGGACUGGGAUAGGGCCCAGAAACGUACGGGAGGCAGCCGUGAGGAAUAUUGCAGAAUGGGCGCAAGCCUGAUGCAGCGACGCCGCGUGCGGGAUGAAGGACUUCGGGUUGUAAGCCGCUUUCAGCAGGGACCAAGCUUUUUGUGACGGUACCUGCAGAAGAAGCACCGGCUAACUACGUG